AGAUUGAACGCUGGCGGAAUGCUUUACACAUGCAAGUCGAACGGCAGCACGGGACUCAGGCAACUGAGCCCUGGUGGCGAGUGGCGAACGGGUGAGUAACAUAUCGGAACGUACCCAGUCGUGGGGGAUAACUCUCCGAAAGGAGAGCUAAUACCGCAUACGUCCUGAGGGAGAAAGCGGGGGACCUAAGGGUAACUGAGGGCCUCGCGCGAUUGGAGCGGCCGAUAUCGGAUUAGCUAGUUGGUGAGGUAAAGGCUCACCAAGGCGACGAUCCGUAGCGGGUCUGAGAGGACGACCCGCCACACUGGAACUGAGACACGGUCCAGACUCCUACGGGAGGCAGCAGUGGGAAUUUGGACAAGUGGGGGCAACCCGUGAUCCAGCCAUUCCGCGUGAGUGAAGAGCUGGUGUAAGCUCUUCAGUCAGAACGAACGGUGGUACUUAAUACG
rnacentral:rRNA from 1 species